rnacentral:rRNA from 1 species
AUACGUAGGGGGCGAGCGUUAUCCGGAUUUAUUGGGCGUAAAGCGUGUGUAGGCGGUUUGUUAAGUUUAAGAUUAAAGCCCGAGGCUUAACCUCGGUUCGUCUUAAAAACUGGCAGACUUGAGUGCAGUAGAGGCAAGUGGAAUUUCUAGUGUAGCGGUUAAAUGCGUAGAUAUUAGAAGGAACACCAGUGGCGAAGGCGGCUUGCUGGGCUGUUACUGACGCUGAGACACGAAAGCGGGGGGAGCAAAUAGGAUUAGAUACCCUAGUAGUCCACGCCGUAAACGAUGAGUACUAAGUGUCGGGUAACCGGUGCUGAAGUUAACACAUUAAGUACUCCGCCUGAGUAGUACGGCCGCAAGGCUAAAACUCAAAUGAAUUGACGGGG